rnacentral:rRNA from 1 species
UACGAAGGGGGCUAGCGUUGUUCGGAUUUACUGGGCGUAAAGCGCACGUAGGCGGAUCGGUAAGUCGGGGGUGAAAUCCUGGAGCUCAACUCCAGAACUGCCUUUGAUACUGGCGAUCUUGAGUCCGGGAGAGGUGAGUGGAACUGCGAGUGUAGAGGUGAAAUUCGUAGAUAUUCGCAAGAACACCAGUGGCGAAGGCGACUCUUUGGCCUGUAACUGACGCUGAGGCGCGAAAGCGUGGGGAGCAAACAGG